CUGCCCUGGACUCUGGGAUAAGCGCUGGAAACGGCGUCUAAUACUGGAUAUGAACCACGAAGGCAUCUUCAGUGGUUGGAAAGAUUUUUCGGUCUGGGAUGGGCUCGCGGCCUAUCAGCUUGUUGGUGAGGUAAUGGCUCACCAAGGCGUCGACGGGUAGCCGGCCUGAGAGGGUGACCGGCCACACUGGGACUGAGACACGGCCCAGACUCCUACGGGAGGCAGCAGUGGGGAAUAUUGCACAAUGGGCGGAAGCCUGAUGCAGCAACGCCGCGUGAGGGAUGACGGCCUUCGGGUUGUAAACCUCUUUUAGCAAGGAAGAAGCUUUUGUGACGGUACUUGCAGAAAAAGCGCCGGCUAACUACGUGCCAGCAGCCGCGGUAAUACGUAGGGCGCAAGCGUUAUCCGGAAUUAUUGGGCGUAAAGAGCUCGUAGGCGGUUUGUCGCGUCUGCUGUGAAAUCCCGAGGCUCAACCUCGGGCCUGCAGUGGGUACGGGCAGACUAGAG
rnacentral:rRNA from 1 species